rnacentral:rRNA from 1 species
AUGGACCGUGUGAUGACAUACAUAAAGCUGCUUCACAAGGAGAUGGUAAUGGAAAGGUUGAACACGGAAGGUGUGCUGUACAAACCCAAUAAGAGGGACAACAAUGACGAAUUUGAUAAUGUAGAUGAGGGAGUUGGGAUGGAGAAUGGCCAGUACAAGUCAUCAAAAUAUUGGCCAGAUAUUGAUUCACCUACCGACGUAAAGGUACGAACAUCUUUCACGGGGAUCAAUGAUACCUCCGUGCCCGUUGAUGACACGGGUGCUCCGGCGACGACACCGGGUAAAGGUGAAGCUACUGAUCCUUUCAUUAUAGAUGAUAAUGGAAACUCUCCAUCUUCGGCAUCAACUGUAAGUACAAAAGACUUUCCGUCUAUGUCCCGAACCCCGCGGAAUGCUGAUAUUUCUGGUGAGUCUAUGGAUGCUUUGUCACCAACAAAGUCCGAAGACACGUUUGAGAGUUUCCCGGCAGAUAGCAACAUAGGUAAUGGUGAAGGCAGUCAGGAAAAUGAUGGUAAGCGCAAAAGAAAAAAGUUGAAAUAUUGCCAAUACCCCUAUGACAUUCUCAUUACCCGCAAGAAACGUGUUAAAAAAAUCUGUUUGCAUCGUCACCACAUUCAAUUCUAG